AGAGUUUGAUCAUGGCUCAGGAUGAACGCUAGCUACAGGCUUAACACAUGCAAGUCGAGGGGAAACGACAUCGAAAGCUUGCUUUUGAUGGGCGUCGUCCGGCGCACGGGUGAGUAACGCGUAUCCAACCUGCCCAUCACUUGGGGAUAACCUUGCGAAAGUAAGACUAAUACCCAAUGAUAUCUCUAGAAGACAUCUGAAAGAGAUUAAAGAUUUAUCGGUGAUGGAUGGGGAUGCGUCUGAUUAGCUUGUUGGCGGGGUAACGCCACAAGGCUACAAUCAGUAGGGGUUCUGAGAGGAAGGUCCCCCANAUUGGAACUGAGACACGGUCCAAAUCCUACGGGAGCA
rnacentral:rRNA from 1 species